CCUACGGGUGGCAGCAGUCGAGACUCAUUCACAAUGGGGGAAACCCUGAUGGUGCGACGCCGCGUGGGGGAAUGAAGGUCUUCGGAUUGUAAACCCUUGUCAUGUGGGCGCAAAUUAAAAAGAUAGUACCACAAGAGGAAGCGACGGCUAACUCGGUGCCAGCAGCCGCGGUAAUACGGAGGUCUCAAGCGUUGUUCGGAAUUACUGGGCGUAAAGGGGGCGUAGGCUGUUGCGUAAGUCGUGUGUGAAAGGCGCGGGCUCAACCCGCGGACGGCACAUGAUACUGCGAGACUAGAGUAAUGGAGGGGGAACCGGAAUUCUCGGUGUAGCAGUGAAAUGCGUAGAUAUCGGGAGGAACACUAGUGGCGAAGGCGGGUUCCUGGACAUUAACUGACGCUGAGGCACGAAGGCCAGGGGAGCGAAAGGGAUUAGAUACCCCUGUAGUC
rnacentral:rRNA from 1 species